CGUAGGGAAUUGGUUUAAGGACCACUGAGAAGAACAUUCCAUUUUCCUCUUCAAAAUACAGAGCAUUCCUCUCCAUUUCUGUUUCUCUACCUCCAUAUUUUUUUUUUUUAUUAUGGCUACUGUUAUGUUUGAUACCAAGAGGAAUGCAAAACUUUGGUUCUAAGUAUAAACUCUAAGUUAUAAGUAUCAGAAACUUGUGGAGAUGGUGAGGACAGGGGACAAGAGUUGGGAGCUACAGCAACACUUCUCCAUUUAGACAAGGAGCUGGACCUGGGGAUGGAUCCAAUGGAUCCAAAAGAACUGGCUUUUUCUGCUCUGCGAGUGUCUACACCAGUGCAGCUGUACAGCUGGCUGGGGUGUCAUUUCCUGGGGGUCAUGGGCAGUGUCUGAGACGGGGGAAAAUAGCCACCUCUUCAUGCUGCCCGGAAUGAGUUUUGUUGGGAUUGUUUCGGGGGAAAGCCAUAAUAGCAUUUUUGAGAGUGGAGUGGUGGCUUCCUUUAUUGUUACCUGAUACUUGUUAGUUGACAUUUUUUCUAGGAUGCUUUUUCCACAAAACUUAUUGUUCAGAGAGAGACACAAUGGAAAUCAAUUGCUAAUUAAAUUUGUGUCUAAAUUAAUAAAUCACAACUAUUCAGAUCAUAUCUGUCUGAAUAAUUUCCAUUACGGUGAACAUAAUUGUUAGAUUCAGCAUUUAAUGAACCAUAUUGUUAGGUAAACUUCUUAUGACAAUUGGGACUAAUAGAAUAUAUUAACCUUUAUUCUUCCGAGCUUGACAUUACAUUGGACCAUGUUAACAUCAAAACACCUGGAUGAGUUUCAUCAUUAAGUAGCCAUUGUGACUCUCUUGGCCUUCUGAUGGAGCCCAUGAGGCUUUGGGAAGUUAGUAAUGUUUGAUGUUUGUCAAUGGGUGUCCUUAUCUAUAAUUGGGGUUUUUUUUUUUUUUUGGCAUUUUGUUCUGUGUGCAUGUCUUUAUGAAAUGGAAACUGUACCACGCUCAAGAGCUGGAAAUCACCAUCAAAUGUCAACAGCCUGUUUGGAGCACCAAUGUAUUACAGGGCAUUGUAGAUUUUGGGCUCCAAGUGCAGGUUUGAAGAUGAUGUUUUCCCAGCUGCCUUUUCAAAGCCAUCAGAAACAGCACAUGGAAGGUGGUAAAAUGAGGUGCAAUCUAUCAAGCAGGCUGAAGAGGACCUUUCUGGGACACAUGUCUUGGUUUAGGUUUCCUCAGAAGCAGAUCCUGAAGAAAGGAUUCAACUGCAAAUAGCUUUUCAGGGGAGACGAUUCCAGCAAACUCUGGUAGCAAAUGGGGAAGCGAGAUGGAAAAGGUAAGCAAGCCUAUUAAGGAAAUAUUUUCAAGCCAGGCACUGCUUUGGGUGGCUAGAGCUCAAUCCUGCUGGGGAACUCUGGGAAACCAUAUAGAACAUGCCAUGGUGUUCUCCCAGCCAAGGAGUAAGGAAGCUGUGGUAUUUACCUACCAACUCUCCAUCCAUCAUUGACAGAGGGAUGCUUUGCAGGGACAGUAACUCUCUUGCACUUUUGCUUGCCCUGUGUAUGCUGAAUGGUCUCUCCCACCCCCAUCUGCCACCUUCAGUCCUUCUUGCUAUGGGGGUACAUGCUGAAAGAAUAUGGGUGGGACACCAACGGUGUCUGCUAUACUCAGCUAGACUGCAAGCUUCACAAAAGCAAGACCUGAAUGCCCAUCACUUUCCCUCCAUUGCAUCAUCAUUAUCUAGCGUAUCACCUGACACAUACUGUGGCUCAAUAAGUACUUGUUGAAAGAAUGCAGGUGGCUGCUGAUGGCACAUGGGGAACUCACAGUGCAGUGGUGGGGACAGAGCUGCACACCACUCACUGCAAGCCAACAGGAUAAGUGCUGUGCUGUAGACAUUCAUGGGGUGCUAUCAAAGUCUAGGGCAGCAGGUGCCAACUCUGCCCGGAGGUGGAGAAGAGCCUAAAGAAGUUUCCACACAAGAGGAGAUGUUUGAGCUUAAGGCUUGAAGAAAGAUGAGUAGGAUUCUGUGAUAGGAUUUUAUUGGUCAUGUCAUGUAGGAAGCAGUGCAGGAAGAAAAAAAUGUGUGGCAGAGGCAUUAGCCAUUUAUAAAAAGAGAGCGCAGGUGCUCUGGAUGUUCUUGUUCUCACCUGUGUGCCUACCGUAAUCUAGAUGUUUUGCGUGGUCUGAGAUCUUGGUGCUGUCUCUGGCAUUCUCUCUUGUCCACGAAGUCAUCAUCGGCUUGAUAGUCUAAACACGUGUUCGUUCACUUUCCCAUGUCCUCCCCUCUCAGCAGACAUGCGCACAACACAGCGGUUUCAAGUCCUUUUGGCAAAGAUAAUCUUUUCUUGACCUUUGAAAAGGCAGGUACGGUACAUACAUAUACACACAUACCAAAUAUUUUCUUUAUGUAUUUACUGUUUGUAGGAAGUCUAACCCUAAUCCAGCGUUUAUUAAAACAAGACAGGAUUUAUUAAAUUGGUUCUAGUUUAUCAAAUAUGUA